UUGAAAGUUUCCAAGAGAACUCCAUCACAAAUGACUAUCUGAUAAUCAGGACAAAGGAUGAAGAGAAAUACCUGCGUCUGGUGUACAUUAGAACAGAGCAAAGAAAAGUGCUCAAUAAACUGGAGAAGGAAAUCCUACAGAGAAAGAAGCUGAUCUACAAUUCCCUCAGUGAUUCAAUCCGUGACACCAUGAAGCAAACAUAUCAAGAAUGCUCUGGCAUCACAGGAAAAGACUCUUUCAGAAAGAUUCAAGAGAAACUUAAAAGUGCAAUUGAGGAUUUCAAAAAGACCAUGUUCCAAAAUGCCAUGACGAAGAUGCUGGAAGAGUUCAGUGAUCUGCAGAAAUACCUUGUGGAUGAAAUUAAGACACAGAUGACAAACGCCUUGACGCUGGGUUUAAACCAGAUCCCUGAGGACCUGACUGGCCUCCCAGGUAACCAGUGGAAGCCACUCUAGGACUGUGAGAGGAUGUGACAGGGCACUCUGUACUGAUCCAAAUCUUCAAACUGAGUGUUUCCGACCAGGGCCCUGUUUUCCUGAAAUGAUCUACACACUGAGAUCAUCAAAGGUUUUCCUCAU